rnacentral:rRNA from 1 species
UGCAGUCGAACGGCAGCACGGACUUCGGUCUGGUGGCGAGUGGCGAACGGGUGAGUAAUAUAUCGGAACGUAUCCAAUAAUGGGGGAUAACUAAUCGAAAGGUUGGCUAAUACCGCAUACGCCCUACGGGGGAAAGCUAGGGACCUUCGGGCCUGGCGUUAAUGGAGCGGCUGAUAUCUGAUUAGCUAGUAGGUGAGGUAAAAGCUCACCUAGGCGACGAUCAGUAGCUGGUCUGAGAGGACGACCAGCCACACUGGAACUGAGACACGGUCCAGACUCCUACGGGAGGCAGCAGUGGGGAAUUUUGGACAAUGGGCGAAAGCCUGAUCCAGCCAUUCCGCGUGAGUGAAGAAGGCCUUCGGGUUGUAAAGCUCUUUCGCAAGGGAAGAAAACUUAGAUACUAAUAUUAUCUGAGGUUGACGGUACCUUGAUAAGAAGCACCGGCUAACUACGUGCCAGCAGCCGCGGUAAUACGUAGGGUGCGAGCGUUAAUCGGAAUUACUGGGCGUAAAGCGUGCGCAGGCGGUUUUGUAAGUCAGAUGUGAAAUCCCCGAGCUCAACUUGGGAACUGCGUUUGAAACUACAAGACUAGAAUAUGUCAGAGGGGGGUAGAAUUCCACGUGUAGCAGUGAAAUGCGUAGAGAUGUGGAGGAAUACCAAUGGCGAAGGCAGCCCCCUGGGAUAAUAUUGACGCUCAUGCACGAAAGCGUGGGGAGCAAACAGGAUUAGAUACCCUGGUAGUCCACGCCCUAAACGAUGUCUACUAGUUGUUGGUGGAGUAAAAUCCAUGAGUAACGCAGCUAACGCGUGAAGUAGANCGCCUGGGGAGUACGGUCGCAAGAUUAAAACUCAAAUGAAUUGACGGGGGCCCGCACAAGCGGUGGAUUAUGUGGAUUAAUUCGAUGCAACGCGAAAAANCNUUACCUG